UUGAUAAUAUUCUGUUGAGUAUGUCAAUAGAAAUAGAGAUGAACAGUGUUUGGUUCUAUUAAUAAACAAAAUAUUUUCCAAAUCCAGUUCAUUAGUGUGCUUAUCAUUUAUACCUUACAGACAAGUGGAGCUUCUGUUCCAGCCUGAGGAUUCUGAUGAAAUGACUUUCUAAUCCUACAGCCUAUUUCAUAUUCAUGGAGGAGGUUUAAGAGAAUUGAGGGAAGAAUCUGCAUCGAGCUUUAUGAACAGCUCGGAUACAAACUGAAGUUUCUGUGUAUUUUUAUUGAGUUUCAUCUUCCUGUUUGAUGCCAUGGGCUAUUAUUCUGUACACCUGCACUCAGCCAGAAAUGUAAUGAAAAAGAAUCAGUCUCUGAAGAGAAAGCUAUCAGCAGUCAGUAACAUCGGGCCACUUUCAUGUGUCUUGCAUUCAAUUGCCAAAAUGCCUUACCAUUAAAAACUGAAGAUAGUAUCUCA
rnacentral:lncRNA from 1 species